GAUGAACGCUGGCGGCGUGCCUAAUACAUGCAAGUCGAGCGAACGGACGAGAAGCUUGCUCCUCUGAUGUUAGCGGCGGACGGGUGAGUAACACGUGGAUAACCUACCUAUAAGACUGGGAUAACUUCGGGAAACCGGAGCUAAUACCGGAUAAUAUUUUGAACCGCAUGGUUCAAAAGUGAAAGACGGUCUUGCUGUCACUUAUAGAUGGAUCCGCGCUGCAUUAGCUAGUUGGUAAGGUAACGGCUUACCAAGGCAACGAUGCAUAGCCGACCUGAGAGGGUGAUCGGCCACACUGGAACUGAGACACGGUCCAGACUCCUACGGGAGGCAGCAGUAGGGAAUCUUCCGCAAUGGGCGCAAGCCUGACGGAGCAACGCCGCGUGAGUGAUGAAGGUCUUCGGAUCGUAAAACUCUGUUAUUAGGGAAGAACAUAUGUGUAAGUAACUGUGCACGUCUUGACGGUACCUAAUCAGAAAGCCACGGCUAACUACGUG
rnacentral:rRNA from 1 species